GACGUAGGGGGCCAGCGUUGUUCGGAAUUACUGGGUGUAAAGGGUUCGUAGGCGGUGUGGCAAGUCGGGAGUGAAAUCUCUGGGCUCAACCCAGAGACUGCUUCCGAAACUGCUGUGCUUGAGUGUGAGAGAGGCUCGUGGAAUUGCAGGUGUAGCGGUGAAAUGCGUAGAUAUCGGGAGGAACACCUGUGGCGAAGGCGGCUUUCUGGGCCCUACCUGACGCUGAGACGCGAAAGCGUGGGGAGCGAACCGG
rnacentral:rRNA from 1 species